rnacentral:rRNA from 1 species
CUCGUAGGCGGCUCAGUAAGUCGGGUGUGAAACCUCCAGGCUCAACCUGGAGACGCCACCUGAUACUGCUGUGGCUGGAGUCCGGUAGGGGAGCGUGGAAUUCCUGGUGUAGCGGUGAAAUGCGCAGAUAUCAGGAGGAACACCAGCGGCGAAGGCGGCGCUCUGGGCCGGUACUGACGCUGAGGAGCGAAAGCGUGGGUAGCAAACAGGAUUAGAUACCCUGGUAGUCCACGCCGUAAACGUUGGGCACUAGGUGUGGGUCUCAACCAACGGGAUCUGUGCCGUAGCUAACGCAUUAAGUGCCCCGCCUGGGGAGUACGGCCGCAAGGCUAAA